GACGAACGCUGGCGGCGUGCUUAACACAUGCAAGUCGAGCGGUAAGGCCCUUCGGGGGUACACGAGCGGCGAACGGGUGAGUAACACGUGGGUGACCUGCCCUCAGCUCUGGGAUAAGCCUGGGAAACUGGGUCUAAUACUGGAUAUGACUCCACGGUGCAUGUCGUGGGGUGGAAAGCCUUGUGCGGCUGAGGAUGGGGCCCGCGGCCUAUCAGCUUGGUUGGUGGGGUGANGGCCUACCAAGGCGACGACGGGUAGCCGGCCUGAGAGGGCGACCGGCCACACUGGGACUGAGACACGGCCCAGACUCCUACGGGAGGCAGCAGUGGGGAAUCUUGCGCAAUGGGCGAAAGCCUGACGCAGCGACGCCGCGUGAGGGAUGACGGCCU
rnacentral:rRNA from 1 species